rnacentral:rRNA from 1 species
CAUGCAAGUCGAGCGGCAGCACAGAGAAACUUGUUUCUCGGGUGGCGAGCGGCGGACGGGUGAGUAAUGCCUGGGAAAUUGCCCUGAUGUGGGGGAUAACCAUUGGAAACGAUGGCUAAUACCGCAUAAUAGCUUCGGCUCAAAGAGGGGGACCUUCGGGCCUCUCGCGUCAGGAUAUGCCCAGGUGGGAUUAGCUAGUUGGUGAGGUAAUGGCUCACCAAGGCGACGAUCCCUAGCUGGUCUGAGAGGAUGAUCAGCCACACUGGAACUGAGACACGGUCCAGACUCCUACGGGAGGCAGCAGUGGGGAAUAUUGCACAAUGGGCGCAAGCCUGAUGCAGCCAUGCCGCGUGUGUGAAGAAGGCCUUCGGGUUGUAAAGCACUUUCAGUCGUGAGGAAGGUGGUGUUGUUAAUAGCAGCAUCAUUUGACGUUAGCGACAGAAGAAGCACCGGCUAACUCCGUGCCAGCAGCCGCGGUAAUACGGAGGGUGCGAGCGUUAAUCGGAAUUACUGGGCGUAAAGCGCAUGCAGGUGGUUUGUUAAGUCAGAUGUGAAAGCCCGGGGCUCAACCUCGGAAUAGCAUUUGAAACUGGCAAGCUAGAGUACUGUAGAGGGGGGUAGAAUUU